CCUACGGGUGACAGCAGUCGAGAAUCUUUCACAAUGGGGUAAACCCUGAUGCUGCGACGCCGCGUGGGGGAAUGAAGGUCUUCGGGUUGUAAACCCCUUUCAUGUGGGAGCAAAUUAAAACGAUAGUACCACAAGAGGAAGAGACUGCUAACUCUGUGCCAGCAGCCUCGGUAAUACAGGGGGCUGAAGCGGUGUGCGUGAGCACGGGGCGUAAAGGGUGCGUGGGUCGUAUCGUAAGUCGUGUGUGAAAGGCGCGGGCUCAACCCGCGGACGGCACAUGAUACUGCGAGACUAGAGUAAUGGAGGGGGAAUCGGAAUUCGUGGUGUAGCAGUGAAAUGCGUAGAUAUCGAGAGGAGCACUCGUGGCGAAGGCGGGUUCCUGGACAUCAACUGACGCUGAGGCACGAAGGCCAGGGGAGCGAACGGGAUUAGAUACUCCAGUAGUC
rnacentral:rRNA from 1 species